rnacentral:lncRNA from 1 species
UUUUUAAACUACUCAUCAUGCUCUAAAUUGAUUUUCCCAUGUGCUUCUUUGCUGAAUUUUUGGAAAUUUCAAAUUAAUUCAAGACAUACUAAAGCCAUGUUUAUUUCUUCUACCUUACCCCACUCUAACAUACUCUAAUGUCAAAAAAGUAUAUUAGAGAUUUCCUAUUAUUUUAUUUCUUGAAUCAUGGCUCCCCUCCAUUUUCAUGGUUUGUUACAUAGUGAUUGAUAUAUACAAUGUUUCCCCCUUAUCUUAACAUAGUAGCUCACAUUUAUGAGUUUCUAUCCUAUGCCAAGCACUGUUCUAAACAUCAGGAGUUAUUUCACUUACUCCUCACAAACACUCUAUGAAGUAGACCAUUGUUAUCCCCAUUUUAUGGAUAAGGAAAUUGAAGCACAGUGAGGUUCAAAAACUUACCCAUGGCUGCACAGCUAGUAUAGUGGUAAAGCCAGGAUUCAAGCCCGUGUAGUCUGAUUUCAGAGCUUAUGUUCCCAACGACUGCAAAAUGCCACCUAAUAACUUACAGUUCGAUUCUACUCCCUUAACUGAAACUUUAUAUCAGGAAGAGUAAAGGAAGUUGCUGAAAAUAUUAUGGGUUAGUAUAAAUGUUUCUCAGCUGCUAGAUUUUUUAAUAAAGGUUUCCAUCAAAUUGAAUGGAUACCAUCAGCAAACCCUAACUCUGUAAUAGGUCUGUUGUCUGUAACAGCCCUCUGUCACUAUGACUAGCUGUUUUGGCAGAAGCUCUGGCAGAUUUGGCCAAGAUGCCUUGCUAGAGACACAGGGAGGGCAGACCUGGGUUCAGGGGCAUGCUGGCUCCCAGCCUUUAGCCUCAGUUUUGUGUCUCGGCAUACAACCCUAAAUGCAU